GGUUAUGGCUCAGGGGUAGAGUGCUUGUCUCACACAUGUGAGGUACUGGGUUCGAUCCUCAGCACCA
rnacentral:tRNA from 1 species